rnacentral:piRNA from 1 species
GACAUGGGCUGCGCCAAGCUACAGU